CUACCCAGGCUCUUGGUACAGUGGUGCCCCUGGGUCUGGUCUAAGUGGGUAGUGGCAUAGGAAGUCCUCAGGGGAAGAGAAGCUGUGAGCCUGCCCUUGGGGAGGGAGGGAGGAGGGGCCAGUGCAGUGAAAACUGAGCUGGCUUAUGAAAUCCCCUUUUAAACCAAGUAAUAAAAGCAGACCUUCUGGUUUUCUUUUUUAAGGGCGUGUGUUUCUUCUGUGGUAUUAGGGAGUUACAUUUUGUUUAGUUUUUCCUGGAAACCAGUAAGCAGGAGAUGCCCCUAACUUGCCUUAAAGACCCAGGGAAACAAGCAACGGGGCCCUCUGCCAGGAAGCUGUUAACUUCCUUUUGAGGCUGUGUGAAUGUAAACAUCCCUUUCAGUCAUAGAAGUCAGGCUCUUCUUUGGAACUUGUACUGUGGACAAAGAAAGCUGCUGCCUACUCUCCCAAAGGCAUCUGGCAUGGGCUGGACAGGUACAAGGGAGCCCUAUUUCUCCCUGCCACAUUCUCUGUGCUCUCCUACAUGA
rnacentral:lncRNA from 1 species